AGCACACGUAGGAUUUGACUUUACGUUUAGUCGUCCCGAUCCGACUAGUACAUUGUUCUUAAUGGCCCAUAGAUAAUGUAUUGGGCUCAAAACUGUUCGUUUUAUAAUGCCCAAAAUAAUUGCUUAUUAACGAUUUAUCUAUACGUCGUCGUUUCACAAAUCGUUUCCCAUCAUCGUCGGCGAAGCACUAAAACCCCCCAUUGCUUAAACCCUAAUCGGAAACUCUAUCUCCGCCGUCACUCAUGGCGUUCUUCGACCUAAGCAUCCCCUACAGCUACCCAUCACCAUCAGGCGGGAAAGAACUCAUCGUCCCACACAAACUCCGCGUAAAGCUCGCCACGAAAGCCAUGGAGCUCGGCUACGUCGGAAUCGCGCACAGCCACUCGAUCGAAGGCGCAAUGUCGGAGAAAGACUCCUGCACGAUCCCUCUCCUCACCCUCGGAUCUCUCGUCAAGGCCGCUCCGCGACUAGCUUCCUCCGUCGCGUUCCACCGCGGCUUACUCAACGUCCCUCGAUCCACUCCGUUUCGGCAGUACACGCGCGUCACCGUGAUACUCGAGAGCAAGGCUCAGUGUCUGGCGUUGAACUCAGGGAAUCCUGUUUUGAAGAGCUACGAUAUCGUUGCGGUUAGGCCGAUGAAUCAGUACGCGUUCGAUCAGGCUUGUGCGAAAGCUGAGGUUGAUGUUAUCUCGAUUGAUUUCUCGAAUUUGCAGUUUCGGUUGAUGCAUCCAACGGUUAAAGCUGCUGUUAAGCGUGGGGUUUACUUUGAGAUCAAGUACUCUCUUCUCUUGAGCGAUGCUGAGAAGAGGAGACAAGUUAUAUCCAAUGCUAAGUUACUGGUGGAUUGGACUAAGGGGAAGAAUCUGAUUAUAUCGAGUGGUUCUCCUUCAGUCACGGAACUUAGAGGUCCUAACGAUGUUAUUAAUCUCAUGUCAUUGCUUGGACUCUCUAGUGAGAGAGCCAGAGCUGCAAUUUCAGUUAACUGUAGGAAUAUGAUAGCCAAGGUUUUGAAGAAGAAGCGGUUUCACAAAGAAGCUGUCAAGGUUGAGUUGCUUUCUUCAAGUGAAACGUUUAGCCUUGAACAGCCUCUGUCUGGAGAUUGUAUGAAAUGGGAUCCUCUUUCGAGCGGCGAAGGUGACUUGCUUUUGGAAGAUCUCGCAAAGGCUUUUGAAGCCACCACACGUCCUCCUGUGGCGCAUAAAGCGUUUGAUUUCACUUCUGAUCGUAAUGGCUUGCCGUCACGUGGUUUCCGGAUCGGUAAUAUUCUAGGAACUGAGCCUUUGACUCAGUCACCUGCGGCUAAGAUUAUUGACGGACCAGUUCUCUGUAAGAAUCAAGUUUCUGAAGUGUGUAUGGCUGAUUCAGUUUCAUCUGUUGAUAAUCUCGGGGAAAACGAAACCAUUAGCCAAAUUGACAUGCUGGUUUCUGAAGAUGACAACAAAGUGGAACCUACAACGAAUGUCCCACUGUCUAGCCAGGGACGGGGAGUUUUGGUGCAAGAUGAAGCAGCUGCAUUAUUUUCAUUGAUAAGAUGUACAGAGUCAGAUGCAGCUUCUGAUGUUAACAUGCAGACUGAGUUGGAUUCUGAAGAUAAAUCAAUGUCGCUAUCAAAAAGUGAUCACGGGAUCCAACAAAGUCAUGUUGAAAAUUUAAACAUGGAAACUAUUGGUGUUGAUGAUGAAUUCCCAGUGGACGGAGCCAACAAAGAAGGAGCUGGUUUUUGUCAUGCUAAUAUUGAGCAACCUACAUCCUCUGGUGUUGAUGAGAUGAAAAUCGAUGGUUCUUUGGAAGCGAAUCACAACGAGUACAUGGAGGUGACAGUGGAAGACGUGACGCAUGAAACAGUCCAGAGGCGGUUGGACAAGACCAUGACCAAUUAUCAAGGUUAGAGUUCAGUGAGACAGAGCUUGGGGAAGAGCCAUCGGUUCAAUACGAUAUAACCAUGGAAGACAAGAAGGAAACCGAAACUAAUCAACAAGCCCAUGUCAAGUACAAUGCCAGAAACUCAGGUAAGGCACGAGCUAAGAGGAGUUGGGUUAGAUUAACGAUACUACAACCUUUGAAGCCUUUUCUACUACAACGUUUCAAACGAAUUAGUAAAAGAAGAAAACAUAUAAGAGCUUGAUGAUUCUUAAACGAUAGAGAAGUUUUGUUCACUGAUUUACACCCACGCAAGUCUCGUGGUAUUAUUAUUGAACCGAUCAUCAAAGUGGGGGAAGAGAAAUUAUAAUUUAUUCUUUAAAGUUUAGAGUUGGUUUCUUCGUAUACUCGUGUUCAAGAAAAAAACACUAUUAACUAAAAUACUAAAAAGAAAAAAAAGGUGAGAAAAAAAUGCUAAGAGUGGAGAGUCGGUAAAUCCACCGCCGGCCGACAAAAGUCGAAUACACGGUCGCCGGAGGGCCUACAUCUCCCUCCUUAGCCUUUGUUAAAGAGCUACUUUGUUUAAACUGAAACAUCCCAAAUUGUGUAAUAAAUAAGACAAUUGAUGUUAGGUUGAUUACUUUGGUUUAGUUUAUACGAGUGGAACCUUCUUUGGUUUCUUAAGGAUGAAUAAGGUAUUAAAUGUAUGCUUGCUUUUGGAGAUUGCUAGUACUUUGUAGCACGAUGAGUAAUCAACGUGAGAGUAAUGAAAUCAUCAAAGUAACAUGACCAUGUUCAUUACAUGAUUUCGAUGCUAAAAGUCAUCAACUUUUUACUUUCUGAUUAUUUUUGUAAAUCAAGUUGGGAAAAGAAAAUUUGAACCGUUAAGGAACAUAAUAAACUACGAAUAAACUAUUUACGAGCCCAUACGUGUUAAUGAUAUGGAAUGAAUAAUUUGUUUCAGUAGGGAACAAACUGGAGUUCUACAUAACUCAUAACACGCAGAUUACUAAAUUUAAAUAUAAAACAUAACGAGGGUGAUUGGUUGGAGUAGAAACUUUACCAUAAAAUUUAUGUUGUAGAAUUUUUUUAUUUAGUUGUAAGCGACGUAGCUUUAAAAUUGAUUUUUUACAGCCAAAAAAAUGAGGCUUUAGAAAAUAAAGUUUUUAUAACUAUUUUUCAUUUUUUUUUGUAGCUUUAAAAAUAAGAUAAAGCAUGACUGGUGAUUUAAAGACUGUAAAUUAAUAUUAAAGUUAAAGUCAGCUUAUACAGUUCAAAAUAUAACAUAAAUAUUAAUAGAUAUAAAAAAUUGUAAACUGGUUUUGUUAUUCUGCAAAAUAAUUUUUGAAAUAUCUUAAUUUGGUGUAAAAAUACUACACAAAUUUAUACCAGUUUAGUUAUAAUACAAAUCGGACAAAGGGCUAAUUCUAUUUCUUUUCCAAAAAGUUUUAUACUAGUUAUAUUUUAAUAUAAGUGAUAAGCGAUGCUUAAAAAAAUCACAUUCGUUAUUAGAUAAAACCUGUCAUAAUUCAUCACACUAUCAUUUUCAGGUAUUAAUAUACGAUCUUAUAGCCAGAGGUUUUGCUUUAAAUAUCUAUACUAUUAAAAGAAGAAUACAAAAAAAAAUAGUCCUAAAUUUUCCUUAAUAAUUAUAAUCUUAUGCCACUGAAUUAUUAAUGGUCUUUUGGUCAUUUAACACAAUGAAAUAUCCAAGUUUAAUUAUACUCAACCAUUAAUGCUGAUAAACCGGAUUGCAAUGGCUUCUCUCUUCCCUCCUCAAUGAAAAAUCUCUUCUUAUUUUCAUAUAUUAACAUCGGAUUUCAUUUCCGAUUAAUGUUUUCUUCUGUUUUUUUAUUUGUUUUUUCUCUUUGAAAUUAGAUUUUCUUUCGAUCUCUUGAAAAAUCUCUCAAAAAGAUCGAUCUUUUGUUUUUAUUUUGAUUAAAAGAAUCUUCCGAUUUGAAACAUAGUUCUAAGUCUCUAUGCCAAUCUAUCAAAGAGGUGUUUAGUUUAAUCAGACGACGUCUCUCUAGCGGGGGAGUAAAGUCACCUUCACUUAGGCAUCAUGUCUUCUUGAUUAGUAUGGGUUAUUGGUGGAUCAUUUUAAUUGGUUCGUUGGGAGUAAGUUUCCUUUUAGUAGUUAAUAAUUAAACUGAUUUAUGUUUUAGGUUUUGGUUUAGAUCGAUAGAGGAUGUUGAAGAGAUUUAGAAAGCCUGGCCAAGAUGACGAUAUACGACAAUGGUUUUUUUUCCGGUGAUGAAGUGCGACAGAGAAAAGUUAGAGAGGUGUACCACUAAUCAUGAACUGCUUAACCAAAAUUGAAAUGGUUAUGUUUAUUUCAUUUGCAAUUUUUAUUUUGGGUCAUUCGGCUUAUGUUUAAUUU